CACGUAGGGGGCGAGCGUUGUCCGGAUUUAUUGGGCGUAAAGAGCUCGUAGGCGGCUCAGUAAGUCAGGUGUGAAAACUCCAGGCUCAACCUGGAGACGCCACCUGAUACUGCUGUGGCUAGAGUCCGGUAGGGGAGCAUGGAAUUCCUGGUGUAGCGGUGAAAUGCGCAGAUAUCAGGAGGAACACCAGUGGCGAAGGCGGGUUGCUGGGCUGAUACUGACGCUGAGGCGCGAAAGCCAGGGGAGCGAACGGG
rnacentral:rRNA from 1 species